rnacentral:lncRNA from 1 species
CAGCUCGGACCACUGCUUGAGGCGGAUGUGGCCCGGUCACGACGCUGUUGCUAUGGCUUCGUCAUUGCCUUUUACCGAGCUACGUCGCCGUGGACGGCUAUCAGGAUAAUUUACCCCAGUAACCGUCUGCAAGAUUAAUUUCUACCGGAGAUUCCGACGUGUCGCGGAGAUUCCGACGUGUCGGACUAGUUACUGACAGACAUGGAUCCUGAAGCUGGUGGACUACACACCACCAAGGAAAUACACUGGAGAGCUUAUGGGGUGGAGUAUCUAUAUGACCAGACAGGCUACGCUUUGCUGGAGCCAGAGGAGUUUGAGGACGGCACUGUCCCCUUGCUGGAUGCUCCUCCACUCACUGGUACAUCUGCCACAGCACCUCCACUCACUGCAGGCUUUAUAAUUGUGAAUUAUAAGACAGCUACUGUAAUAUCUGGUCAUUAUUUUUCAAACUAGCAUGUACACUUAUCUUUUACUGCUAUAUUUCACACUGCCUUAAUUUUCCAGGUGUUUCAUCGGGUCCCAAGGGCAGCCAGACCUGUUCGACUCCAUUCAAGAAAACUCUACAAGUCCUUGCCUUGCUUCAAUCAUCUCUAUGAUUAUGACCUGGAUGACUGAGACUCUUCAUCAGCAUACACCAGUGUGUUGUCAACAAAGCCUGUGUGAUGGCUGAGACCACCAUCCAGCUGCCUGAGGUGAACACAG